ensembl:lncRNA
CCAUGGCUACUAUGUAAUUAAGAAGUAAUUAAGAAGUAAGCAUUCAGGAAGGAGAACACUCUGCAUGAGUCUAGUUACAUCAUUUAUAAAUGGCUCAAUGCUGGCUUACCCCUUCUCUGGGGUAGCAUGUGGAGAGAUCACGCACCAAAACAAGACCUUUGGGUUCAUGGGACUUAGAGACUGUUAUAGAAAAGUCCCUGACCUUCUAUUUUGUACUUCUGUUUCAACUCUGUCUUGUAUCCAUGAGGAAAAGCCAUUUUUUCUACCAACACCAUGCCUCAUAUAUUGCAACUCACAUUACCAUGAAACAAGACGACUUGAUUCUACUUACAGUUCCAUCAAAGAAAGCUAAGAGCUACCUGGAUAAGCUGAAAGUAAACUAAAGCCAUGGUUUGAAUAUCUUUUUGAGGAAUCACUCUUCCUGCCUGGGAGCCAAAAGAUAAAAUGAAAACAAACAGAAAAUGGCUGGUAGCUACUGUUACUUGGUUAUGACCUUUGCAAAGGAAUGCAAGUCAAAGUGCCAUCCCAUAUUUACUUCCAGCUCAGUUGCAUUCCAGCAGUGGACAGCACACUCUGCCCAUAUGCAUGAAGCUUACCAGAAGCCAGACAUCUCCCAGGACAAUGGCAUGUUUGUCCCAUGCAGGAUCGCAGUCUAUGUGCAAGGUCUGUGAUGUCCUGUCUCUGAACAAUAGCCAGAACUGUGACUAUACUCUUUGCAGUCAAAGUCUUUUAGCUGUAUUAUUAAAGUUUUAUUAAUAAUAAUAAUAAUUAAAAAAUCAUCUAAUUAAUGUCAGAUAUCUGCAAAAUAUGGAUUGCAUACAUGUGAGUAGAUUGGCUUCUCUGUCCAUAAUGUAACUUAGUAUUUAUGCUUGCAAAGCUGCGUGAGAGUAAUCUUUGAUCCAUGGGUGGCAUUCUGUAUCCAAACUUGCAAUACAAAUAAUAUUUAUAUUUUCAGUCAAGUCAUUUAUGACUAUCUGACAUUAAAGGAAAGCCAACAAGAUAAUAGUUUAAAAAAGUAACAUUCACAACUUUUUUUUCCCCCCUAGAAAUUGCAUUCAUGUUGCCAGGCUCUCUUUCAAACAGAUUGUUUUGUGAGUUCUAAAACCUAGCAGCUAAUUUCUUACAUAUUCAUAGUACAAAACAACAUACACUUUAUCUGGACUCUGCCAGACAACUGAAUAACUGGAAUUCUUGCUGAAGAUGUAGAGAAAAACUUUGCAUGUAACAUUUAAUAAAUGAUUGGUUUGUCCUAUUAACCCUUUCUUAGUUUUUUGUUUAAAGUUGUCAAGUUAUUCAUAUAUUUUCCCCUAAAUGGUAAGUAUUUUUUCUCAUUAAGAUUGAUUUCCUCAAAUUGUUUUGCACAUUACCAGACGAUUUUAGGUAUUAAGGAGUCUAUUUAAAGGCAUGAAGAGACAGACAGCUGCCUGCAUCAUGUAAAAGCAAAUAACAUUUUUCAGGGAAUGAUGUGGCCGACAGCCAGAGCAGGUGGUUAGCUGAGGAGGAAAGGGCUGGGCCAGGACAUGGCUGGGAGGGUAGAGGAAGGUAGUACAGGAAGUUGUGUCUGUCGAUGACUCAAAAGUGGAAUUCACCUCCCGGAGUCACUGGUGAAUGUCUGCCAGAGCUGUGCUAGGGCACACUACAGGGCUGGAGACUUUAUGUGCAUGACAUAGAAAACUAGAUCUUGGCCAUUAACUAUGAAUAUAUGAACCCCCUGCCUUUGUCAGAAAAGUAAGAGCAGUAACCCUGAUAUCCUGUCUUUGUUUUACUUUGUAUUUUUAGAUUUUGUCUAUGUAAAAUCAUCCCGAAGCAUAAUGUUUUUUCCUGUCCCAAUACUUUUUUUUUUUUUUUUUUUUUUGAGCUUCUAAACAUUAACAAGUUCAGAUAUAGAAAUGUCUAAGAAGUUAGUAAACCUACAUGUUUCUCACUGAUCACAUUCCCUGGACCUCUUGGAAGGUCUGAAUGUAGCACCAUAGCUCCACAGCCACAGAUGUUUUUUGAGACCACAUAGUGGAAGUAUACUCAUAUGUAUGUGUAGAGAAAUAAACACAUAUGUAGUUGAUAGAGAUGGAAACGAUGUAGAGGUAGGUGCAUGAGGGCUGCUCUGAUAGUAAUCCUCCUAUGUUAUUAUGCUGGCCCUUGACAUCAGAGAUGGAUGUGGUGGUGUGGAAGUAGAGGUUGAAUCUUCUCACCAAUAUCCUAUUACACGAUGCUUUGAGAAAAUGGCAGCAGAGGGACAGUCUGACAGAAUGGCAUCUGACAUGCAUAUGCACACAUAGCAAAGGUAUGGAAUUGAAUUCCUCCAUGUGGAAAAAAUGGCACCCAUCAACAUUCAUUGACACUUGCUGAAUGUUCAUGGAUACCAAACAGCAACUGUCAGCACAGUGAAAGGUGGACUGCAUAGGCAAAGUUUUACUAGCAACAGCACUGUCAUAGCAGCUGUGAAAAAGUUGGUCACCUCUGCUGGUGCAGAUUGUAAUGAAUGCAGCAUGCAGACUUUUGUUUAUUGCUGACCAAAAAAAAAAAAAAA